rnacentral:rRNA from 1 species
GAUGAACGCUGGCGGCGUGCCUAAUACAUGCAAGUCGAGCGAACAGACGAGGAGCUUGCUCCUCUGACGUUAGCGGCGGACGGGUGAGUAACACGUGUAUAACCUACCUAUAAGACUGGGAUAACUUCGGGAAACCGGAGCUAAUACCGGAUAAUAUAUUGAACCGCAUUGUUCAAUAGUGAAAGACGGUUUUGCUGGCACUUAUAGAUGGAUCCGCGCCGCAUUAGCUAGUUGGUAAGGUAACGGCUUACCAAGGCAACGAUGCGUAGCCGACCUGAGAGGGUGAUCGGCCACACUGGAACUGAGACACGGUCCAGACUCCUACGGGAGGCAGCAGUAGGGAAUCUUCCGCAAUGGGCGAAAGCUUGACGGAGCAACGCCGCGUGAGUGAUGAAGGUCUUCGGAUCGUAAAACUCUGUUAUUAGGGAAGAACAAAUGUGUAAGUAACUAUGCACGUCUUGACGGUACCUAAUCAGAAAGCCACGGCUAACUACGUG